GUCUAUGGCCAUGCCACCCUGAACGUGUCCAAUCUCGUCUGAUUUCGGAAGUUAAGCGGGGGCAGGCCUGGUUAGUACCUGGAUCGGAGACCACCUUGGAAUACCAGGUGCUGUAGGCA
rnacentral:rRNA from 1 species